GUGUCAAUCACUGCUCAUGCACAAACAUUCAUUCUCCCUUGUGCGGGGGGCUUUAGCGGAGAGGGAGGAGGGACUGAGAAGUUGUCUAUGUUCAAAUUUUUUGGCUAAGUCCUAGAUCUUCGCAAUCCUACCUACGGCACCUUUAACAUGCUCAGAUAAGUG